GGUUAGACGAAGAAUUCAGGCGGGGAAUCUAUGUGACGUAUAAUUAAUAGAGUAUGGAUAAAAGUAAAGAGAUACUUCUUUUCUUAGGUGAAAUUUUUAUAAAGAAAAUUAACUUUCUUCUGUUCAUAAGAUAGAAUUAAGAAAUAAGGAUAAAAAACCAGGAUUAGAUACCCUGCUAUUCUUUAACACUUCUCGCAGGGUAGUAAAAGUUGUUCUUCAAACCCAAAGGUUUUGGCGGCAUUCUAACCAGAUAGAGGAGCUUGUCCUAUAAUCGAUAAUCCUCGUUAUAUCUCACCCUCAUUGGUUAAGUUUGUAUACCUCCGUUGUCAGAUUACUCCAUAAGGACGUUUUCAGGAAAAAUUAUUUUUACACUUCAGGUCAAGGUGCAGCUAAUAUGAGGGUAUUGAUGAGCUACAAUUUUUUAAAAAAAUACGGAUACUUAAAUGGAACUUUGGUUGAAGGUGGAUUUAUUAGUAAGCUGACUUUAGGAAAGUUAGCUGAAUAUGGCAAUAGCAUGUGCACAUAUCGCCCGUCACUCUCCUUUUAAGAGGAGAUAAGUCGUAACAAA
rnacentral:rRNA from 1 species